rnacentral:rRNA from 1 species
AUUGAACGCUGGCGGCAGGCCUAACACAUGCAAGUCGAGCGAGCGGCGGCCGGGUGAGUAAUGUAUGGGGACUGCCCGAUAGAGGGGGAUAACUACUGGAAACGGUGGCUAAUACCGCAUACUAUCGGAUAACCCAUAUGGGAUUAGCUAGUGGGUGGGGUAAAGGCUCACCUAGGCGACGAUCGCUAGCUGGUCUGAGAGGAUGAUCAGCCACACUGGGACGUAGACACGGCCCAGACUCCUACGGAGGCAGCAGUGGGGAAUAUUGCGCAAUGGGCGCAAGCCUGAUGCAGCCAUGCCGCGUGAAUGAAGAAGGCCUUAGGGUUGUAAAGUUCUUUCAGCAGGGAGGCGUUACCUACAGAAGAAGCACCGGCUAACUCCGUGCCAGCAGCCGCGGUAAUAC